AUCCAGCUCAAGAGUCCAAAAUAGGACGAAACGCGUGUCCUGGAU
rnacentral:hammerhead_ribozyme from 1 species